AGGCGAGUUGGAGCGAGUUGGAUCUGUGCCCAAUCCAACGUCCGGCUGUUUCGACGACGACUGCUGAUUUCCAGUUUCAAGGAUGAUGGAGACUUGCAAGUCAUCAGACCAAGAUUUCAUACAAAAACCGGUUACCUCUCUCCCGGCAUUCAUCAAUUGGAAGGGUUGGAUGACGUCAGCAAUAAUCUAGGUUUAUUUGCCGUUCGGGAUUGCAAUCAAAGGUUCUGUGCAGAUUAAAAUAUCACCGAGAUGGCCAUGAUCUAUGUCAACAUAGUUGAAGUUCUUUACUCCCAAGAUUUCUCAACUAGCGGCUGUGAAACGGACGGCCAGUGCCCGAUUGGCCGACGGAGAAAGUGGUCGGAAUUCGCUGUUGAAUCAAGUUGCUCAGCAAAAAGCGACCAGCAGCUGAUUUAAAAACAAAAAAGCUCGAAACAGGAUUUCAGUCAAACUUGUUCGAGAUCAUCGACCCCUCAUCUUUUCCAUUGCACCGGAUACAUUUUUAUCUGUCACGUUUCAGAUGAGUCACUACGUUUGAGGUAAAUGAAAGGAAGAGAUCUAACCAGAGCAUUUGAUAACAAUGGUGACGACUGACGAGAGCGGUUAGUUAAUCUAAGACCUGUUAAUAAGAGAUGUGUAAAGGGCCAGAAGGGCUCAGGGUAGCAGUACAUUUUCCUCCCUUGAAUAACUCUUACCAACUACAACCACAAAUCGACGCAAUAACUUUAAUGAGGGAAACACCAAGCUGAUAUAUUGGCUGGUUUUAUUUUUGGAUUGAAGAAGACAGCAGCCAAAAUGCCACAUCUUUUGCUUCAUCCGUUUGUGAUUCUUUCUUUCUUUCGAGAGUGUUGCUGAAACCCAUUUCAUCCUGAAAUACAAAUAGGUAAGAUUUCCUCCGGUAGAGGGCAACGUUUCGCGCCGAGAUGACGGCCAUUUUUCUUUUUUGUAAGCCUAUCCUCCUUUUUUUAAACCGCGAUCUUUUGUUCUUCAAGGACAUUGUCACUGACCCUAUCAUUCUUAUCAGUUUCCUAGAGGCUUUCAGAUUGAAACGUUGGUGGUGGAAUUGAGCUGGAACAUGGCCAACUUUGGAAUGAAUUUUUCGUGAUGGAUGAUCAACGUGGCGUGAUCAAGUGAACUGAUUCUUAUCGUGUUAAAUCUGACAAUCUUGUCGAAAAUUGAAAUCUCCAUUGUGACGUCGUGUGAUGGAUGCCAAACGUGUUGUAAUUGGGACACGGAUCGGUGAACACCACGACGGUGAAGUCGGCCAUCGAAAAAUCUGCGUGGCGGGAUGCUGCGAGGCCAUUUCGUCACCUGUGAUAUCGUCCAUCACGGCAUCACCUACAGAAGUUCAAGGGCCAUCCCAAAACACGAAUGGACUCGACUGGAACUAGGACUGCGAGUUGGAUCGGUGCCCAAUCCAACGUCCGGCUGUUUCGACGACGAACCGCUGAUUUCAAAUUUCAAGUUAGCCGAUGAUCGCCAUCGUGACGCCGUCUGAAGUCGAACGUGUUGGAUCAUCAGUCGUCCAACAGCAGUGAAGCAAAGGAAUGAAAUCAGUCACCUCCCGCAUCAUUCGAAUCGCACGCAGAAGAUGACAAGGCCAGCACCAAGACAGGAAAGACGACACUGGAACUAUAGCGAGUUGGAGCUCCGCCAAUCCAACUGUUGCGACGACGAUGGCGGAUGUCAAGUUGGAUCCGCCAUCGUGACGUCGAUUGAGGACGAACUGCGUCACGGAAAUGAACGGCCGUUUCAUCACCUCCGACGACAUCCGAAUGGAAUGCGGGAAAAUCCAAGGUCAGCCCGAAGAAUGGAAUGGACGCAACUGGAACUGGCGAGUUGGAUCUGCGCCUAAUCCACCGUCCGGCUGUUUCUUUGACGACUGCUGAUCUCCAACUUCAAGGUAAGAAAUAUCUUUAAUUAAUUUGUCAUUAGAGAAUAUUGCGCAGCCUAGUUUUCAAUUCUUUGGCGAGGGUCGAAUCGAUUGACGGCUGAAGCCCAGCUGAUACAACGUCCUUUUUUCUUUGGCGUUUUGUUUUAUUGGCCAUCGUGUCUAAUUCAGGCUUGUUGACUUUGAAUCAUUUGCAUUUCAGACUCGUUCUCUUAUUGCCAUACUGACGAGAUGAACUUGUUACUUGGCUGGUGCUGCUCAAGAUUAUGUCAAUUUCAAUCAUUUAUUCAGCGACAUUAUCGAACUAGCAUUUCUAUGUGGGUUCUAUGCUCCGUUUAUUCCAGCAGAGUGCACCAUAUUUAUUCAUCGGAAUAAUUAAUCAUGUAAAAACGCUAUUGGGAUAUUCACACGCCAAGGAUAUGAGGUUUAAUUGACUUAAUUUUCACAAGUGCUAUCCCCUUUAUUUUGGGGAGAAUUAUUUCAGUCCAUCAAUCGAUGGAGAGUGCGCAAAUUCACUUGUUCGUCGGCCCCUUUUAUUUCUCACUGCAUCGCCCACCUUUUUUGGGUAGUUAUUGCAGAAACGAAAAAGACUAAUGACAACAACAAUACCAAUACAGUGGUAUUUAAUAAGGUUUCUGCAGAUGGAUUCCACUUCCGCGGAAAUUCCGUCGACCAGCUGGGCCACGUUGGAUAUUCACUUACAUUCGCGCCGCAUGUUUCCGAGUUAUUGGCGCGUGGCUAAUAACGCAACUCUCUAACGCAUGGAAUCUACUUUACGUCCAUUUCCUGGCUUCCUAUCGGUACCGCUGUGCCGUAUCACUAAACGAGGUUACAUACAUUCGAUUUUCCCGUGAAAUUUCUCGACGAAAACGAAUCCCUACAAAUUGUUUAAUACCUUAACCAUAUCGCAGGCCAAACAACAUCCGGGGUAAUGAAAUGGGAACCGUUAAUGCAAUAACAUCCAUCGCCCGCAUCUAUUUUUGGGUGCAAUUGAUAUUCAUCGAUGCCAAUUGUCGGGAAUCUGUCUAGACGCAAUCGGCUGGUGGCAGUCGGCAAAAUUCUUUUAUUUUUUCAAAUUUCCAGGUUAUAGACACAAAUGCGUUUAAUUUCGUUCGUCUUUUGGGUGGGAGUGACGUAACGGCCGUCGCGGACGUGCGGAAUCGAUGAGUUAACAAGGGGUCGGUCCAUUUGAGCGGCUGAUUGGUCAGUUGCACCAAUGUCGGUGCUGUCACUUUUGUCCGUAACAAUUACCGUUCUAGGCGAUCAAAGUGCCUUUUAUUUCUUCUUAUUGCUGUCUGCUGUCAUUUUAUCGGCUAAUCGAAGGCGACACCGCCGGCGCUCUCAUUUCCAAUUCUCACGUCACACACGCGGGCAAUAUCGUUUGACUCCCGCCAAGUGUCGCUUGUCGCAGCCAAUCGAUUGCCGACCAGCACACACACAUGCCCUUGACUGGCCUGUCGUGUGGUCUGCUGCAAUUGUUUGUAAUGGUCGUUGAUAUCCUGUUGUCUCACUUGAACACACCAGAAUUGCCAAUAAAACGGGUCCAAUGUCAACUGGGUCCAUUCCUCUACGUUGUCCUUUCAACUGAUGACCGUAUAGUAAAACAAAUUCCUGGUACACAAACCCGGAGGCUCUUGAUAAUCGUCAACUGUUGCGGGAUAGUAUAUAUCAGCUAUCGUAUAACUUUCAUGGUUGAAGUGUCUUGAUAAUUCAUCGAUUUGAUGAGGCGAAGCUCGUCGGUGUACCUCACGUGCUCCUUUCCGAUUCACGGCCGCGUCACCCAUGGUCGAUAUCGUUUGCUCCCGCAUGCUGUCGUUUCCUCCUGUCAAUAUUGCCAUCUGAAUGACUUGGCAUAGUCACACAAUCAUCUGUCCUGCUGUCGUGGUGCAACACCUGCACACACACGGCCCACACUGUCCCACGCAAUUGAGAGCGAUGGAGGAAAAAGAAAUUCCUUUCUGGCGUGUAGAUGAAACGAGAAUUGAAGUGAAUGAAUCAGAGGUGUCAUCACGUGAGCGGCUGCCUCUGAACGAAUUUUUUCAUUCGGGUAAAAAUUUCUAAAGCGCUGGCGGGGAAUAAAAUGCGAGUUGUUUAUAUUGAGAAGCCCCCCCGAGCGAGUAUAGCAUGUUGAUGAGAUUGAGACUGUCAAUAGAUUUUUUUUUGUCCGGUUGAUAAGGGGCUGGCUCCUUUCAGCGUCACGUUCGCGCGUCAUCUCAUCCGCCGUGUGGCGCAGCCGUGUGUACUAGAACCUGUACAAGUGAGAUUGGAUAACCGCGACGAUGAGUGUGUGUACAGUGUGUACCCUUAUUUGGCUAUUCUAUAUAAGCGCCAAUGCAAUAAUUCGGCGCCAACUAUAAAAACCAAAUUGUCUGUUUGUGCUGUGUAAAUCAACCCGCAUCACACCGCCGCCAAGACCCAUAGAAUCAAAAACCCUUUUUGAGUUGACACAAUUUAUUUGGUUAAUACCGGAAAAAGUGUUUGCGGUGGCGGCGGCCCACUCGACUUUGACGUCAUCCGCCGACCGACUCUGUGGGCCGCGCUCGUGAAUCGCAAUCGAAUCGUGCAACCAACAGACUCUCGUCGCCCGUCUCUCCCACGCAUUGACAACGACACAAUGUAAUAAUACCGCUGCUGCCCAAAUGCAAGCAAUCUGUCCUCCUUUUCUCUCUCCUUGAUUUGUUGUGGUUUUUUCUAAAGGGGGGGGGGGGAUGACGCAAAUGAUAGCGGGACAAUUUGAAAACGUUUGUGUGUAUUUCCACCCUCCCAUGAGAAAAGCGCAACAAAUCUAAAAAAGACUGGUGGUAUACUACUGCGCACGAUGCGCGUUUCAUUUCCUCUUGUCGUUGAGCCCAGCCCCGAACGAACGACGGGCUCGUCCGGGUUCGCCCGCGUUUAACGAAGUCCCACAUCAGCGCCCAUCCGUCCCUUUGCUUAUUGUCGCUCAAGCCGCGAGUCGCAUCGGUUCGUUCACCACUCACUCAACUUGACAAGUCAAAAGUCUAGGUCCAACCGGUCCUUUUGUCACGAUCGCUGUUCUCUCUCCGUUUCGUUCGUGAUUCUUGUUAUCCGCCCGGAAAUUUAUUCCAAUCAGAAAAGGGGUCCUUCUCAAUCAGUUCACGUCCUUUCUCCAAUCAAUUUUCUUUUUCACCUUUCGCCAUGAAAUUUUUGAGCUUCGUCUGCUGUCUCGUUGUCUUAGUCGCCAUCGGCGCCGACGCUGAAACUGAAUUCAUUUGCGAGUUCAGCUCGAGGACGCUGGCCUGCCCGCACGGCAAGAGCCUGGACAUCAAAUUCGCCAAUUUCGGUCGGAUUGGCCACAACGUUUGCUUCCGCGGCUACCGGUCGGGAGCCGAUCGCGUCAACAAUUGCUACGACGAAUCGCACACGGACCUAGUGGGCAUGCUCUGCAACGGCCAGUCCACCUGCCUUUUGCCCGCCUCCAACGAAGUCUUUGGCGACACCUGCCCGGGCGUUCUCAAAUAUUUGCAAGUCAAAUAUCACUGCGUUUAAAACAACAACAACAAAAAUCUUUUGAAACACAAACAAACAAAUGAUUGGGCCCGCAGGUUCAAACAUUUUUUUUUACCAGCCGCAACUUUUUUCUCUUUUUUGUGACUGUACACAGCGAAAAACAGUCGUCAAAACAUUAUCACAACUAUUACAUAUACGUUAUACGUUAUAUUAUAUUACCUUAUCUCUGUUCCGUUAAUUUAAAUUUCUGAUUUUCUCUCUCGUGUAAAUUAUUUUGCGAUCGUCCAUUUUUCCGUUACAGGAAUUUGAUGGCGCGAGGCCACGGCUAUAUUUGCUUACUUAAAUAUUAUUCCCACCCCACAUAAAAAUAUAAUUAUGACACACAUAUUUUGAUCAUAUUAAUCAAUCGUUGGACCAUACCUUUACAGCAACCUCGUCCCUUUUUAAAAAAGGCGACUGGUCGCUUUUGGGUAGUAGAUGUAAUACGACGAAUAUUAUUAUUAUUAUUACAGCCCUAUAUAUCAACUAUUAUUAUUCUCGAUGUCGCACGCACUAUAUACAUUGUUGUCGUUUUAUUACGCGUUUGCAGUUUCUCCUUUUUUAUUUCGAAAAAUUGAGUUAUUGGCGCGUCCAAUUAUUAUCUUGACAAAAUACAUUCUAUACAUCAGCA